AGGCACUGGGGACGGAAGGGAGGAAAAUUUAGCAAAAAAAAAAUGGGCAUUAUUGCAUGGCACCACAAAGGGAGAAGUUGGUUAAAUUUUGCCUUCCUAGUUCCCCAAAUCUGACUCUGGCCCCUUACACAUGACAGGUGAACAAGGCAAAGCUGGGAGCAGCUUCCAGAUGAGGAAUGUGACAGCAAUGCCUGGAGAUAAGACAACCUUGUGGACAUAAAAUAUGUUUAAAGACUACUCAUAGGUGAUGACAUUUGCUUUUCCAGCUGGGGCAGCUUGUGCUGAGAACUGAGCACAGGAACACCCAGGGACGGUUCAAGGGCAGGCAGCUUCACCCUGUGCCACGGCCAACCCCUAGCACUCCUUUCUCCUUGCCAGAAGGCCAGCAUGGCUACAGCAGCUGCACUAACCCCCUGUGCUGACACUGGCCAGAGCAUCAUCUCUUGGUGUUGAAGAGACAAAAGCCCCUCAGGAAGCAAUGGAUGAGCCACCACAGGCUGUAGUCAUGAAGACUUCUGGAGGACUGAGUGAGACCUGUGAGGAGAAAAUCCAGUCUCACCUGCAAUCCCUAAGGAAGGUGUUGGCAGAAUUUCUGGACUGGAGAGCAAGCGAAGAGAAAAGACACCAGGACUACCUGGUACAGGCAGUCCCUUCAGUUCUUCAGCAGUCUGAAUGGGUCUUGGGGUAUUUAUUUUUCCCCAAGCCCCUCUUGAAGGAACACAUGGGAUCAUAUCCAAGAGGCAUCCUGGCGCCCUGCAAAACCCUACACCCAGCUGGAGUGGUUGGUGCAGAUCCCGGGCAGGAGAUGAGUGAAGCCAAGAGGGGCCGCAUUGAAGCUGAGUUCGAGCGGCUGCGCCGGCUGCUGGCGGAGCAGGAGCGCACCGUGCUGGGGAGGCUGGCUGAGCUGGACCAUACCUUCGCAGCUGCCCACGCUGAAAAAUCAUUGCGGGUGGCUGAGGGGGUUGCACAGCUCCACAGACUCAUUGGGCAGCUGGAAGCCAGGUGCUCGCCCCAGGAUGUUGGGAGCACCCUAAGCAGCUGGAGUGAAAUGAGGCUCCACCUCCCCUCAGGGCUCCCCAAGGAGCUGGAGAAGAGCCUGAGCUCCUGCUGCCGCCAAAGCCAUGCUCUGUGGGAGGCCCUGGAGACGUUCAGAGACAUCAGACUUUGGGUUUGUUUGGGCUCGGUUUCGCUCUACACCUCAAGGAGUCAGUGACUCUCGCCGCUGCCCGAGAUCGAACAAAUGAGAAGGGAGUUUUCUGUGCGCUCCCAUGCUCCCAGGCAAAGGCAAAUCUGGGGCUAUAAACAUAAUUUUGGGGUUUUUUUGAGAGCUACGAAUGCCCAGUGCGGUUGUUUCCGCAUAAACCUUCUCUAUUUUCUAUUUCCCCGUGAAAGAGACAAAGCUGAUCAAUUUUGCGCCACACCGGCAUUUAUUAUUUUUAUAGCUCUAUAAUAAAAUUUGCAAUUAUAUUUAAACAUACACAUGUUUCAUAUUAAACGGAGAUAUAUUAUAUUGGAACCUCGUUAACGUUAUUAUCGUUACCAGACACACUUUAACACUCGCGUUCCAGGCUGGCAUCCGCAGGAGCUCCAGGGAGCUGUGCUCACGUGCCGCGCUCCUGAUUUAUUCCUUGUCUCCUGGAGCCCUCUCCUGGCCGCACUCUGCCUCCCCCGGUGCAGCCGGAGGGGUGAGAACUCGCCCUGGAAAUAUCUCGUCCCUCCCAGGUCCCAGCUGCGUUUCCUUCCGUCCGUAAAUCCCCGCUGUUCCAUGCCUGGGGCGGUGGGAGCGUCGGACCGGCCCCAACCCCGGGGCUGCCUUUGCUUGGCAGGCUCCGGACCCCGACACCAGCGUCCCGCCCCGCCGCCACUUCAGGAAUAUCCAGGAAUACCCUGCCCGGGCGCACUUCCCCAGUGGUAAACAACCAUGGCUGCGGGAAACGCCAUCAGCUACCUCCAGGAGGAAACCACCUACUCUUGGAUUUUUCCCAGGAUCCCGUCACGAUCCUGAGCUGCGGCCACAAUUCCUGCGGGCGCUGGCCGUGGCGGUGCGCGGCGCUCCGUGCCCGCAGCAGGGUGCAGCUGACUGACGUGUGCGGCCGUGCAGGAGCUGUGCCACCGGCUCCAGCCACCCCUUGGCCUCUUCAGUCCCCGCGAUGGAAUCCUCGUCCGCACCGCCUGCGCCGAGCAUCGCGCCGGCCCCGCCGUGCCCCUCCAACAGCCCGCUCGCUGGUACGGCGUGGGUGGAUCCCUGUCUCAGGCACUCUCCCCCUGCCUCAGCUACGCUACUUUCCUUUAAAACUCAGCCCCCAGAAUAUGUGUUUUGAGGAGAGGUGAAGUUUUUCCCUGUCUUUCUAAGGGAAGAAAAAAAACCCAAAAAGCAACAAGGCAAGCAUCUAGAAGCCAAAACUGAGUUGAAAUGCUGCAAUUUGGUAAAGGUUAAGUAUGAAACAGUAGGGCGGGUAGUAGUUUUGGGAUCAAAACUAAAUAUUGCGGAUUUGAAACUCCUGCUCUCACCCAGCGCCUGCAGCAGCUGCGGGCAGUGCUGAAAGGGCUCCACUGACUGCUGAGUGACCAGGAGUCAUGGUUUCAUUCCCUCUUCCAUUGCCUGUCCUGGAGGCUGGAGGAACAGCAACAUGGUGAAGCUGCCUGAGAUGUCACAGAUUCAGCAGUGCUGUGCAAAGCUCCAGACCAAGCGCCAGCAACCAGAUGGUGACCUGCUACUGGAUGCCCAAACCACCCUGAGCAGGUACUGGAGCCAAAAAACAUCACCAGGAACAGCAGUUUUGGCCCCAGAUCCUCCUUUUUUUGUAUCUUCUGAUCCUGCGUUCUUUUCCUCUGGGAUUUUUGCUUUGGAGCUGGAGGGGGUUGAUGCUUAAUCCAGAGCUUGGUGAUGAUGGGGGAAUCUUCCAUCAUGUCUUGCAGAAGUGGAGCCUUGCCCAGGGAAGUAAAGAUGUCCCAAUGGUUUUCUAGCAAUGGGGAAAGGAAAUUUGGGUAUUUCUUGGCAUUAAACACCCCAAUUUGCUCCCCUCAAGGCGCACAGAGAGGAAGGUGCAGCCAUCACUGCUGUUGAUGUCAGAGCUGGAAACAGCUUGAAGAUUUUACCUGAAAAACCAACCUGCUGGCAGAGGUAGUGACAUGAUUUAAAGAUGCUUGGAGGGUAAAAACUGGCAAAAAAAGGGAAUUUAUUAAGCAGAAAUGGGAAACUGGGGUGGUUCUGGGAGGGCAUAGAACCCCAGGGUUGACAGAUUUGGCUGGAAAGUGAAAGCAUCACAAAUGCUCAUUUAAUUAAAAGAAAAUCAGGGAUUUAUUCCUGAUUAGCCUUAAGGGAUAAAAACUGAAGGUGGGAGGUGCAGAAUGCUGUUGUUGGUUAAUUGGCACCCAAAUUAGGAUACUAAUUAUGUGUAGAGGGAGUUGAUGCCCUGGAGGAGGCGGUUGUGUCUCCCACCUCAGGUGGUCUUGCCUUCUCCAUGCAACAGGGAUUGAGUGCAUAUGAGGAAGGCCCAGGGCCAGAUCCAGAGGUAAAAAUCUCUGGGCUCAUCUUCUAUUUCCAGACAUCUUGGAAUGACCUCUGGAGGAAGACUCAGGGGGAUACUGGGGAGGUGAAUCCAGCUUCAGGGAUUUACUGAACCUCUAUUUGGAUUCAGUGCCUGGAGCUGAUGCUCUGGUGCCAUUUUUGGAGGUGAUAUUCCAGUGCAUAGAGCCUCAUGAACAUCCCUCUCCUUGCCAGCAACCAUGAUCCUAGAUCCAGCCACAGCUCACCCCCAAAUCCUGGUAUCAUCGGAUGGCUGGACUGCAGGUUGCUGGGAAUCACCCCCAGCACCUCUUGCCCUCAGGAAUGGAGCAUUUUGAAUGUCUUCACUGUGUUUUGGGUCAGCAGGGCUUUGUGGGGGGCCAGUGUUGCUGGGCUGUCCUGACUGGGCACUGGGGUUGGCUUGGGAAUUCGUGUCCUGUGAUUCGUGACCGCUGCUUCAGUCUCAGCCCCGAACGUGGGGUUUGGGCUGUGCGGCAGUGCUAGGGGAAGCUGCAGGCUCUCACCUGCCCCCCCCCCCCACAUCUCUGCCCCACAGCCACACUCUCCAAUGCAUCGAGGUGGCUCUGGAUUAUGCUGGUGGGCAGGUGGCCUUCCGUGAUGCUGACAGCCAGACUGAAAUCUUUGCUUUUUCCCCAGCCACUUUUGCAGGUGAACGACUCCAGCCACUGCUCUGGCUGGCUGAGGGGCCAGCUCUGCUCACCCUCUGUCCCUGAGUCCUCCAAAAAUCCACUAUGAACCUCCCAAGUGCAGACGCUUCCACCACCCCAACAAACACUGAACUCGACAGCUAACAGCCCCACUGCCCCCAAGGCCCCAUUUCAUUUUCCUUAUAACAUCUAAUUUAACAAUCACAUUUCACUCUUUUGCUUCUCAGUGGGAAAAGAGAGGUAUUUUUAGUUCCUCAGCUGUUUAUUAGUGGAAGCAUGGACCAGAAAAACAGGGAGAACGUCCCUAAAAGAUGUUUAAAAACUCACCUUGAGGAAGAAAAUGGGCUUUGUUGCUGAUGCUAGAUGUCUCAUGGUAAGGUUUUUUAAGUGGAAACUUUUCUGCUUAAGAUUUGUAGAGAAUUUAGGGGUAGUGGGCUAAAACCAUACUUUAUGUCUCCCAGGAUCACUAAGGCUGGGGCCUUUUCAGGGUUUUGUAUUCAUUGCCAGGAUGUAAGCAAUGGGAGAGGCCACAGACAGGAUUUCAUCCCCCAUUUCGCUGCCCACAAGGGAAUAGAAGGGGAAAAAACCUAAAUAAACCAGUAUCUUAAAGCAGCAGAAGGUUGUUAUUAGGGUUUGGCCAUGUAAUAAAGUGCUGUUAUCAGCAAGCAGGACUAGGCAGGUCUCUGCCUCUUGCAGUCCCAGCCACUCCUUUGCUGCCAGACUCGUCUCCCCAUCCACAUGCACUCUUCACAUUGGUGUGAGGAAGAUGACAAACUACCAGGAAGAGGGAAGAACAGCAACUUUUAUCUUCGGAACCCUAAUUUUAGACAAGGGCCCCGACAAAACACAGGUCACAGCCAAAUCCACAUUGCAGUCCUACUCAGUUGUAUAACUAGUUGUUUCCCUGUUUGGCUCAUGGUGAGGUUGGUAUCUUCCUUAAAAGACAAGGUCCAGUAAUGUGUAGAAGCCAACUACUUCUUUGCAGCAUCUUACUCCAUCCACUCUUCAUCUGAAAAGCUUUAUGGAUUAUUUAAUUUGAAAGUCCAUACAAAAAAUAAAUAACAAAAUCCCUUGCCUUUUUGUGUAACUCAGUAACCCCAUAGCUGGCUCCCAGCAUUGAGGUGGGGAGGAAGUCAGCCUGUUUUUGUUCAAAGGCAGCUCAACAGCAUGCUAUCAGCAGCUGGGAGUGCAGAUGGGUGGGUGUGGAGAGUGCACAACCCCCACUCCUUGAGCAGAACCAGCAGAAGCACCUUGCAGCUCUCCCAAACGGGCCUGUGGACCCCAAAACCCUUCUGAGUCACAGGCAUACCUCAUACUAGCCCAUGAAAGGAGUAGCUGAAGGUUGUUUUUUCACAAGAGUCAAAAGUUUUUUCCAUGAAGCUGGAACCUGGGGUACAUUUUGUCUGGGUUUGGGGCUUGAGGAAGAGCAUUCCCAGGAGGAGGAGUUUUAGCCAUUGCCUUCUGCUUCUUCCCAUGCUGCUCCUCUUUCACUAGCACCUCAGGAUCAUACCGAGAGGGAAGUGUGCCUCCAAGGGAAGUGCAGCAGGCAUGGAGGGACAAACCUGAGUGAGACUGCAGGCGCUUCACGGUGGUUGAUGUGUUAAACCUCUCCUGGGCCUCACUGAGGUCCACUAUAAGUGCAAAGAGGUGGAUUUUGGGGAUGGAUUCAGGUUAAUAAUUUGUUGGUGUUUGUGGAUGCUUGUAAAAAUAGAGCUCAAAAGGCACUUUUUAAAAUCAGAGACUUGUUACAUCCAGAAGACAGAAAAUACAGCUCCAUUGCAAAGCAGGGGGGUGUCUGUGUUUUUAAUCCUAUGGUUUGGGGUAUGUUUGCUCCAUUUUAGGCUUUCUCCCCAAGGCAGCAUCUUAGCACAGUGGGAGAUGGGCAUUUUCUAUCUAGAAACAGUGCCCAUAGGGAAAGAAAUCCCCAAAUUAGGGAAGAACUUCAGUUAAAGAAAUAGUGGCCUCUGCACUGCUGUCUUGAGGAGAAAGAGCUGAUAAACCCCCAACCCCUUUGUUUUUGAGAAAACUGUCCCCUUUUAAGUGAAAACAAGAUAUGUUGUUUUCAACACUAGCAGUGGAUGUGGGGAAGAAACAUCCAAAAAUAUCCCUAAACCCUCCCAGAAUUAACCCAUAUCCUGUAUGGGGGGAAGGAGGGGCUUGAGUUUCUCAGGCAUCAACAGUUUGCACAGUUACCACCUCCAGGGGAUUUCCCCCCUCUUCUUACACAGUUUAUUGGGAUAAAAUUUCAUAAUUUCAUUUAAUUUUUUUCCAUUCUAUAAUUUCUCCUGCUCUGAGAAGUGUCUUUUUCUCCCCAAAAUGAAGCCAGGCAGGAUGUUUCUCCCUCCAAGCCCCUUCAUUGCCCAAAAUCCCCUCCAAAAAGCCAAAUCUGAGGGUUUAUUUAAGCUAAAAUAUUUUUUUAACACAGGAUGAAACAUUAUAGUGCAUUACAUGGCCUUAGCAGCAUGAAUAGAGCUGAUAGCUGAGUAGAGCAAGAGAGAUCUGAAUUCUGGGUCAAAUUUAGUUUCUGCCUUUUAUUCUGUAAAAUAGUUACUCUGUAUGGACCUAUGCUUUAGACCUGAAUUUCCCACAUGGAGGAAUUACCCCCUAGAGGUACAGUGAGCCAGCUGUGUUUUGCUGCUCACCCAAAUCCUUCACACAGCAAACUCCAAAAAAAUUAUGAACUGAACUUUGUCUUGAAAUAAACUGGUUGAGCUCAGC